CCUACGGGUGGCAGCAGUGGGGAAUAUUGGUCAAUGGGCGCAAGCCUGACCCAGCAACGCCGCGUGAAGGAUGACUGCCCUCCGGUUUUAAACCUCUUUUUAUAGGGAAGUGCAGUAGACGGUACCUCUUGUAUUAGCUGCGGCUAACUACGUGCCAGCAGCCGCGGUAAUACGAAGGUGGCCAGCGUUGUGCGGAUUUACUGGGUGUAAAGGACUUGUAGCCGGGCUGUCAAGUCAGUUGUGAAAUUUCGGGGCUCAACCGCGGACUUGCAUUUGAAACUGUAGGUCUUGAGUAUAGGAGAGGCAGGCGGAAUUCGUAGUGUAGCGGUGAAAUGCGUAGAUAUUAGGAGGAACACCAGUGGCGAAGGCGGCCUGCUAGACGGCCACUGACGGUGAGGCGCGAAAGUGUGGGGAGCAAACAGGAUUAGAUACCCGAGUAGUC
rnacentral:rRNA from 1 species